rnacentral:rRNA from 1 species
GGAGGAUCCAAGCGUUAUCCGGAAUCAUUGGGUUUAAAGGGUCCGUAGGCGGCCUAGCAAGUCAGUGGUGAAAUCUCCCCGCUCAACGGGGAAACGGCCAUUGAUACUACUAGGCUUGAAUUAUUAGGAAGUAACUAGAAUAUGUAGUGUAGCGGUGAAAUGCUUAGAUAUUACAUGGAAUACCAAUUGCGAAGGCAGGUUACUACUAAUGGAUUGACGCUGAUGGACGAAAGCGUGGGGAGCGAACAGGAUUAGAUACCCUGGUAGUCCACGCCGUAAACGAUGGAUACUAGCUGUUGGGAGCAAUCUCAGUGGCUAAGCGAAAGUGAUAAGUAUCCCACCUGGGGGAGUACGUUCGCAAGAAUG